rnacentral:rRNA from 1 species
UACGAGGGGGGCAAGCGUUGUUCGGAAUUAUUGGGCGUAAAGGGCGCGUAGGCGGUUUGACAAGUCUGAUGUGAAAUCUCUGGGCUCAACCCAGAGUCUGCAUUAGAAACUGUCGGGCUUGAGUAUGGGAGAGGUGAUUGGAAUUCUCGGUGUAGCAGUAAAAUGCGUAGAUAUCGAGAGGAACACCAGAGGCGCAAGCGAAUCACUGGACAGAACCUGACACUGAGGCACGAAAGCUAGGGGAGCAAACGGG